GAUGAACGCUGGCGGCGUGCCUAAUACAUGCAAGUCGAGCGAACAGAUGAGGAGCUUGCUCCUCUGACGUUAGCGGCGGACGGGUGAGUAACACGUGGAUAACCUACCUAUAAGACUGGGAUAACUUCGGGAAACCGGAGCUAAUACCGGAUAAUAUAUUGAACCGCAUGGUUCAAUAGUGAAAGACGGUUUUGCUGUCACUUAUAGAUGGAUCCGCGCCGCAUUAGCUAGUUGGUAAGGUAACGGCUUACCAAGGCAACGAUGCGUAGCCGACCUGAGAGGGUGAUCGGCCACACUGGAACUGAGACACGGUCCAGACUCCUACGGGAGGCAGCAGUAGGGAAUAUUGCGCAAUGGGCGAAAGCCUGACGGAGCAACGCCGCGUGAGUGAUGAAGGUCUUCGGAUCGUAAAACUCUGUUAUUAGGGAAGAACAAAUGUGUAAGUAACUAUGCACGUCUUGACGGUACCUACUCAGAAAGCAACGGCUAACUACGUG
rnacentral:rRNA from 1 species